AAUGUUUCAUUUAAACCAGCCAAGCUGGAUGCAGGAUUCCAGAUAUGGACAAAGAAAGGAAUAAGUAAACGAUAAGAAAAUCUUAAAAAA